UACGAAGGGGGCUAGCGUUGCUCGGAAUUACUGGGCGUAAAGCGCACGUAGGCGGCUUUCUAAGUCGGGGGUGAAAUCCUGGAGCUCAACUCCAGAACUGCCUUUGAUACUGGAAAGCUUGAGUCCGGGAGAGGUGAGUGGAACUGCGAGUGUAGAGGUGAAAUUCGUAGAUAUUCGCAAGAACACCAGUGGCGAAGGCGGCUCACUGGCCCGGUACUGACGCUGAGGUGCGAAAGCGUGGGGAGCAAACAGG
rnacentral:rRNA from 1 species